rnacentral:tRNA from 1 species
GUAAAUAUAGUUUACCCAAAA